GAGAGGAUAGCUCAGUGGUAAAAAGUGUGUGUUUAGCAUGCACGAGGUCCUGGGUUCAAUUUCUAGUACUUUUG
rnacentral:tRNA from 1 species